UUGUUAAUCUGUUGGAUUCCAAGGCUUGGUGUGGUAACGUGGCGAUUAAAGUGGAUAUCACCAAAGCUUGUGAUACUCUCAAUUGGGAAUUCUUACUAGCAGUCCUUCAUAUAUUUGGUUUCAAUUCCAAAUUAUGUUCGUGGAUUAGGAUUACUUUGCAAUCUGUUUUUCUGUCCACGGUUACUUCAAUUGCUCCCGGGGCGUCCGUCAAGGUGAUCUGUUUUCUCCGUUUCUUUUUUGUCUUGAUGAGAAAGUUUUGAGUAGGAAACUUCUUCAAUUGGCCUCUGAUUGCUCACUGGAUCAGAUUAUGGGACCAAAGAAAGUUAAGGUUCAUUCGCACAUUCUUUAGGCUCACGACAUUCUUAUUUUCUACAAAGGGAAGUGUUCCAACAUCCAUAAGCUCAUAUCAAUUUUCAAAGAUUAUGCUGCAAUUUCUGGUCAAGUGGUUAACUGUGGCAAAUCGUUCAUUUACGGAGGUGCGAUGUCUUCCUCCAGGCUUAAUAUCUUUGCUGCUCUUUCCGGGUUUCAAAUAGGCUCUCUUCCUUUUAUCUUGGCGUCCCUCUAUUUAAGGGUAAACCUAAGAGGAUCUUUUUGCAACCUAUUGCAGAUAGAUUAAUCAACAAGUUGGCUUCGUGGAAAGGUUCUUUAUUCUCUAUCGUCGGUCGUGUGGAGCUGGAUAAAUUAACUCUCUUUGGGAUGUUUACUCACAGUAUGAUCGUUUAUGCAUGGCCGCUGUCCCUUGAUGCUGAUAUUGAGAGGGUUGUUGGAAGAUUUAUUUGGAGUGGUGAUACUUCUAAAUUGAAAACGAUCACGGUAGCUUGGAAUAACAUCUGUAAGCCUACUGCUGAAGGCGUCAUUGGGCUGCGAUCUCUUUACAGUUUGAAUGAAGCUAUGAACUUGAAGUUAGCUUUGGAUAUCCUCAACUCCGAAGACUGUUGGGUUGUUCAGAUACGGGAAAGAGUGAUGCGCAAAAAUAAUUUCAUCAAUCAUCAUAUUUUUUAUUCUGUUUGGUCUAGUGCUAAAACAGAAAUUCAUCAUGCUCGGGAUAAUUAUUCUUGGUGUAUUGGUAACGGUGAAUCUACGAGCUUAUGGUUUGAUAGUUGAUGUGGCUCUCAUGCUCCGGACAUUGUCGUUGAUAAGGUCAACAUCAUUCUGGUUAAUGGUUGUUGGGACUUUUCCAAAUAUACCACUAAUAUUCCUCUUUCUCUUCAUGUGCGCAUUUGUAACUGUCAUAUUCUGGUUGAUCUUCGUCCGGAUAAGAGAUGUUGGAAUUUUACUUCUGAUGGUGAUUUAUCUCUUAAAGAGGCCUACAAUUUUAAAUGGAAUAAGGGAACUCUCAAGGACUUUUGAAGAUGAAUUUGGAAUAAGUCGAUCCCGUUGUCUAAGUCUUUUUGGUUUGGAGGCUUAUAUCACAAGUUGCAGAGGAAACAGAACCUCAUCUUUUCUUUAAUUGCUCCUAAGCAUCUUCUCUUUGGAGUUGUUUGAAAAACAUUCUUGAUCUUAAUUUCGCUAUUAAGGAUUGGCCGGACAUUUGGAAGCUUCUUGGUAUGAUGGGCUCAAAGCACGACAAGAUCAUUUCUAGAGUCGCCACCAUUUUCAUCCUCAACUCGAUAUGGAAGGCUCGAAACAUGGUGCGUGCGAAUUGAAUGCGGCAUAGAAAAAAGACUUUAAAAGAAGUCAAAUUAUGAUAAAUGAUAAGGUAAAAUGCAAUAAAUGACAUUAAACAAAACAAAGGGAAAAGUACAUGUUCAUUACUGCGGGACUACUGUGUUUACUCCAUGUUCAAUUCACAAGUUCCCACUAGUGUGCUUACGUGUCUUCCAAGACACCCUCUAUUAAAAACCCAUGUUUGAGUGGUAACUACUUCCCACUUCUUCACAAACCCUCGAUGCUAACUGCUCGAACGUAUUGUCGACGUUGCUUAUCCAGGACUCAAGACUUAUAAUUUUACUAAGUCUUUUACAUCAUGUGGCUUAAUCGACUGGUCCUCUUGAAGGAAUAUAGAUGUUUGUCGAUUGUCCUUCUCGAGAUUUUGGACAUGUUCUCAGGUCUGGGGGAAUUUAUCCUUGAGAAUCCUCCAAACCACGUCUCAUUGUGUCGAUAGCUUGGUCGACCCUUCUUCGUUGGUCUAUCGACGACUUAUCAUUAAUGGUCUUUUAAGGACACUUUAUUAAUGCUUUCUCACAAUAAAUGUCCUUCACUGAUAUUCUUUGUUGACUUUCUAGUAGAUGAAAAUCCAAGUGUAACAGAUGCCCCCCCCCCCAAAAAAAAAUUCAUUCUCGACCCAUGUCAGAGGGGAGAAAGGUGGCGUUAUUUGCAACUACUCUAUCAUUGUUCACAUUUUGUGCCACGUCACCUCAGUCAUGUUUGUUGUCAGUCAUUAUGACUAACUUUUCUACCAAUGCACACGUCACGAUCGUGCGUGCAGAUUCAUUAUGAUUACCUCUUAUUCCCUAGGAAGACUAAGUGAAAUGGAAAUGCUCUAACUUCUAUCUUGCUUUCCCCAUGGUGUUUAUAUUCCAUUUGUCGAAUCAACCACCAUGUGGCCGAUCUUUUCUCAGACAAAAAUUGAACCAUUUUUCAUUUGUUAUUUAAACGUGUUUAUUCAAAACGCCUUCUUCUUUCCUGUUUUUGUACUUUUCCUUACUAAAAUCCUAGCUUUUCCUUCUUCCUUACGCUCUUACUCAUACAAAACCCAUAUCCUUCAAUGUCGCUUCCAGUACAACACCAUGCGGGCUUUGCAGCCAAAAUUGAUCUUCCUAUCAUCGUGGAUGACGUGCCUACGUGUCAGAGCCUCCCUUGGAAAUGGAACGCAGAAAGAUCUGGUAUCGCUCUUCUUUUAUCCCCUACAUUCUUGUUGGUAAUGUGCAUGCACUUAUGGGUCCCUCACCCAAAUAUAUUAAGAAACCCCAACUGCUCUAGGAUUAUUUCCCUAUAUACCGUGGAUAUGAACCAUUAGUGUUCAUAAAUGAACCUUUCAAGUUUAACUACUUCAAAAAUCAGGUCUUCCGCUCCUCUCCGCCACAGAAGGAUGUUGAGUAUAUUAAGUGACUGGAUAGGGUUGAAGGGAAGAAUGUACACUACAGGAAAGAUUUAGGCAUUUAUGAUCUAAUCCAGCUAUCCAGGGCGAGUCUCUCUUACAAUCCUCAUAUGUUGAUCGCUUUCAUCUGUUUCUGGGAUACUUCCACCAAUACUUUUCAACUACCCUAUGGGAUGAUAACUCCCACUUUCUUCGAUAUAGCUUCCAUAACUGGUGUUGGUCCAACUGGUAUGGACUUCGAUCAUGCAAAAGUUACCAGAACUCAUCUUCUCUUCUCCUUCUCUAGACCAGGUUACAGCUCUUUCAUAGAGGAUCAUCGAAAGGCAACCCACGAUAUUUCUACGCGCGAACACAUUGUGUUUCUUACUUACUGGUUGUUGAGAUAUGUAUUAUGCGCUCGAUCUGUUCAGGUGGCUAAAAAAUGCGUGCCCCUUGUAACCCAACUUUAUGAAGGCAAGAAAAUAUGAAUGAGCCAACUAAUUCUCAUGGGACUUUACGAGUCCAUGGUCUUGGUUGUCACUGAUAUCGUGAGACCAGAAAAUCCCAAUACCUUACAAAUAAGGCGACUUAUUUGGCUUUUGCAGAUGUGGUUGAAUGCCACUUUUGAAUCUUCCCUAAAGGCUAGAGUUCUCCCAACUCGACGGUGGGAAUCGAAGGUCCUCGUCUAGCUAAGCUCACCCCAAACGAUGGGAAGGUGUUAUCUAUAGAGAUCUUCGAAGAUUACUUCUAUAUAUUUUACAGGUGUAAAACUUUCACUAAGUCAAUGGCCCUAUUUUCCAGUCGACAGUGCAGUCCUGAAUGGUUCAGGAAACCUUAUCCCAACGAGUCUCGACGAGAGCAAGAUGAGAUCGAGAGGGUUUUAUUUUCCUGAUUUAAUCCCACCCUUUUAUGGGUGAGGCUUACCACUUCAAUGAUCGGUUUUGAGGGUGGCUUAUUACCAACCUAAUUUGGUGGCUAGACAAUUUGGGUUGAGCCAGCCUCUCCCUAAGUGACUUAUCCCUAUCACCAAAACUUUCUUCUGCAUGCUUGAUACUGCUACUGAGAGGUGGCUCAAAGGCAGUCGUUCAUUCUACAUAAAGAAAUAAGUUUACUUACAGGCUUUCGACUACACUCUUUAUUAUCACUGUACUCGGGAGUUCAAAGAAUGGUGGGCCCAACAUUGGUCCCUUGUGCAUCACCAAACAAUGAUGGCACAAUGUUUAGUUGAUGCUUUUUCUUUCCUAAGAGAAAUAGGUAUGCCCAAGAAUCUAAAGACUUCUACUAAUAGCUCUCUAGGAGCCGGCAUUUUGUGAGCUGC